CUUGCUCGCGGAGAGAGGAGCUAGGAGCCUCGGCCAAUGGGAGCCGGCGUUGUUGGAGGCCACGGCGGCGCAGCCCCAAAGCGAGCGAAGCUAGGGUCGCCGCCACUGCCGCAGGAGGCGUGAGGAAUUAGAAGGUGACGAGGAGGGAGAAGACGAGGAUGAUGCGGAAAUUAACCCCAAGAAGGAACCCAGCCAGCCGGCGGAAUGCAAGCAGCAGUAGGAAGCGGAGGCGGGUGCCUGGCAGACCGGCUGUCGGGACUCCAGGCCUGUGGGCGGGGCCUCGGUCCUUGCCGCAGCACAAUCCCGUGGACAGAGCUUACUCCAUCUAACUCGUUUUCAAGUGCAUGAUUUUCACUUUCACUUUUCCUUUUUCCUUAUUAUUUUGCUUAACUUGUACAGUGGCAACUGAAAUGCAUUUCAGAAAUAGGAGGUUUCGUCCAGCACCCUCUGCAGCCUUGGUGCCUGUAGCUCUGGACUUCCCUGGGCCUUUCCCUGUGGGAGGGCCCUGUAGACCACAUCAGGGUGGGGUGGGGGUCACUUGGCAAAAAGGGCCGAGGUCUGGUGAUGUGGUUCCCAGGAUCUGGAACCUCUCCCACCCCUCCUGCAGUUGGACUGAAUUCUUCCCUUUCAUCCGAAGAAACCCACUUGCUGUUUCCAGCCGCUGAAUCUGCUGAGUGUGCAGCCUGCAUCACCUGCUGUAUGCCGAUCAUCUCAGAAAGGGCUGUGUAGAGUAGGGCCCUGUUCUCCUUAGGAUGUUGCUUCUUGAUUUUUUUUUUUUUUUAGGGGUGGGUCAGGGUUGUGACACACCAGCCCAGGUGAGAGCUGCUGCGGGUCACCUCAUAUUUAUUUAUCCCUUCUUGCCUGUGAGGACUGCGGCUUUUCGCUGUGGCUCGUCCUUAACGUUUCUGAACCACCUUGGUGCCCUGAGCAGGAAGAUGUGCCACUUCCUAGCAGGCGCAAGGCCUGUGCGGAAGAAACGCCGCUCCCUGCCACCAGGGCUGAAGAUGCGAGCCCGUCCUCAUGACGCAGGCGCCACCCUGCUGCCGGAGCCGGGCUUCGGCAGUCUUCUCCACUGAGGGACUGGGCUGGGAAGUCCUGCGUUUCAGUGGAGCGUAUGAGCGUCAAGUCCUGCUUUCUCAGUAGCCCCAUUGCGGGGCCCCACCAUUCAUCCUGUCUGAAGGUCCUGGGUUUGGUGUGACCGCUUGGCGGCUGGUGGGUGGGGUUUUCAAGUGGGUGACGGCGCUCUCCGGCAGCCGGGGAUGGCCGUGUCCGCACUGACCAGGCCUGUGGAGAGUGCUCGGCCUAACCUUAGAACACAUUUGUAACUGAAUACAGUGUUUUCAAUUUGUACAGAAUAGUUAGAAUAUUCUAUUAAAGUGGUGAAACAUUGAGUCAGC
rnacentral:lncRNA from 10 species